rnacentral:rRNA from 1 species
UGGGGAAUCUUAGACAAUGGGGGAAACCCUGAUCUAGCGAUGCCGCGUGAGUGAAGAAGGCCUUAGGGUUGUAAAGCUCUUUCAACUGUGAAGAUAAUGACGGUAACAGUAGAAGAAGCACCGGCUAACUCCGUGCCAGCAGCCGCGGUAAGACGGAGGGUGCUAGCGUUGUUCGGAAUAACUGGGCGUAAAGGGCGCGUAGGCGGUCUGGUCAGUUAGAUGUGAAAGCCCCGGGCUUAACCUGGGAACUGCAUUUAAUACUGCCAGACUAGAGUGCGAGAGAGGAAAGUGGAAUUCCUAGUGUAGAGGUGAAAUUCGUAGAUAUUAGGAGGAACACCAGAGGCGAAGGCGGCUUUCUGGCUCGCAACUGACGCUGAGGCGCGAAAGCGUGGGGAGCAAA